UGGAUNUUGGGCGUAAGAGCUCGUAGGCGGAUUGUCGCGUCUGUCGUGAAAGUCCGGGGCUUAACCCCGGAUCUGCGGUGGGUAUGGGCAGACUAGAGUGCAAUAGGGGAGACUGGAAUUCCUGGUGUAGCGGUGGAAUGCGCAGAUAUCAGGAGGAACACCGAUGGCGAAGGCAAGUCUCUGGGCUGUUACUGACGCUGAGGAUCGAAAGCAUGGGGAGCGAACAGGAUUAGAUACCCUGGUAGUCCAUGCCGUAAACGUUGAUUGCUAGGUGUGGGGAACAUUCCAUUUUUUCCACGCCGCUACUAACUUAUUAAGUGCCCCGGCUGGGGAGUACGGCCGCAAGGAUAAUACUCAGAGGAAUUGACGGGCGCCCGCACAAGCGGAGGAUGAUGCUUAUUAAUUCGAUGCAACGCGAACAACCUUACCAAGGCUUGACAUGUUCUCGAUCGACAUAUAUAUACGGUUUCCCCUUUGGGGCGGGUUCACAGGUGGUGCAUGGUUGUCGUCUCCUCGUGUCGUGAGAUGUUGGGUUAAGUCCCGCAACGAGCGCCCUCCUCGUUCCAUGUUGCCAGCACUUCGGGUGGGGACUCAUGGGAGACUGCCGGGGUCAACUCGGAGGAAGGUGGGGACGACAUCCAAUCAUCAUGCCCCUUAUGUCUUGGGCUUCACGCAUGCUACAAUGACUACGUACAAUGGGUCGCGAUACUGUGACGUGGAUCUAAUCCCAAAAAGCCAGUCUCAGGUCUGAUUGUGGUCUCCAACUCGAUCCCAUGAAGUCGGACCGGGAGUAAUACGUUCAUCAGCAACUGCUGACGUGAAUACGUUCCCGGGGCUUGUACACAUCUACCCGUCAAGUCACGAAAGUCGGUAACACCCGAAGCCGGUGGCCUAACCCUUGUGGAGGGAGCCGACGAAGAGNGCAAACCCAUUAGACUAA
rnacentral:rRNA from 1 species